rnacentral:rRNA from 1 species
GACGAACCGAGCGAACGUUGUUCGGAAUCACUGGGCUUAAAGGGCGCGUAGGCGGGCUCACAAGUCAGGGGUGAAAUCCCACGGCUCAACCGUGGAAGUGCCUUUGAUACUGUGGGUCUUGAGGGAGGUAGGGGCGUGCGGAACUUCCGGUGGAGCGGUGAAAUGCGUAGAUAUCGGAAGGAACACCGGUGGCGAAAGCGGCGCGCUGGACCUCUUCUGACGCUGAGGCGCGAAAGCCAGGGGAGCAAACGGG